rnacentral:sRNA from 1 species
AGUCACAAUAUCUUUCAUGGUGGGGGCUUCCUAACCCCCUACCCGCUGGGUUGCAAAAAUAGGUUUCCCUAUAUGGAGGCAAAAGAGUGAGCGAUGGAAGGUUUGUUCUCUGGCUGUCAGGUAAAGUGAGGGCUGCUUGAGCUGGGUGAUAGAAGGAGACAUUACUGGGACGAAGCCGACAUUCUCCACAGAGGAGAGGAAAGGGGUUACGUGUUCUGUAUGUUACAUCGCCUCCCCGAGCAGCACGACUGCACAUUCGACCACAUGGGCCGUGGCCGGGAGGAAGCUAUCAUGAAAAUGGUGAAGCUGGACCGGAAAGUGGGGCGCUCCUGCCAGCGCAUCGGGGAGGGGUGCUCCUGAAGGCCAGGCAUGGCCACCACAUGACGCUGUUCUUAGUUCACUAAUGUUAGCCUUAUUUAGGACAAAGUCAGCCAGACACCUUGUACUGGGCACGCGUCAGACUGCAGCCAGUCCGUUUCCUUUCUUUAGCCAGCCAUCCUGGUACUGUAGUUUAGGGGUUGAUGGUGGUUGAAAUUGAUUUCUGGCUGGUUACUAAGGUGCCUGCUAGCCAUUGUAUAAAAUUAAAACAUGAAGAAUAUUUUUUUUUGAGCAUGGCUAGUGGAUUUAAAACAACACAUACCUGUCACUGCUGGAGUCAAACUUAUAAAAAGCCUUAAGUGGAAAGUGUUCCAGACGGAGACUCUGAGUUAAUAGAGGAGUAGAAGCUGGUGUUAAAGUCCCCACGACGCACAUGGCUUUGCCAGAAACUCUGUUUAAUGUUCGGCCUUUCACCUCUUCACUUAUCCUUAGUCCCAGUAGCCAGGAUACCUGAUGGCCAUGUGUGCCUUGGCCACAGGAGGCUGCUGAGAUUGGCCACGUGGCUGGGCUGGGUGGUGGCCUCACUCUCCCACAGAGCUGGAAAUGGGGGGUGGGGGACAGAUUCUUACGGAAAUUUUUUUACCUGA